CGCCCAGGCAGCGGAGAGCGAGGAGGCGGGGCCGAGCGCCGGGUCGCGCCCAGGGGCGGAGCGCAGGAGGGGCGGGGCCGAGUGCCGGGACGCGGCCCGAGAGUAGAGCCCCGGGACGCGCAGGCCGCCGCGCGGGGGAGGCCGGGCACUCCAGUGGCUUCUCCCGCGGGGCAGGGCGAAAGGCGUUGCCGGCUAGACGCUGCGGGCGAGAAAGCGGCGGGCGGCUUCAGUCUCGCUCUCCCGAACGGCUUGGAGCUGGCGGGGAGCGGCCGGGUCGCUGGUGAGGGCGCCCCAGCCCGCAGCCUCCCGCCGAACCCGCUCCCUCACCUGGCUCUGCGCCCUGGCGGCAGCUCCGCGCCGGCCUCCUCUUUCCUCAACCGCCCGGGGACCGCGCCCGCCCCUCUCGCUGUCCACAUCCGCCCUCCGCCAGCGUAGACGCGCGCCGGGAGCCGCGGGGCGGCAGCUACGUCCCCGGCGCGCGGCACUUAAUUCCUGGUGUGUCCUCACAAUGGACAAACCUAGGACGGGGCCACAGCCGCGGGGAAGCAGCUAAGGAAAAUGUACAUCAUAAAGCAUCCUCGUUCAGCGUGAGAAAAGAAAGAAGUUUUCAUGACUGCUCCGUUAAAGCUCUCAGCGUCGUUUAAGCGAAUCGCGUACAGAAGCCACUGCAGGGAUUGCAUCGCUUUGCUCAUUUCGCUCACUUAACAUCUGCAUUGUUCUCCGCAUUAUGCUGGGUGUUAGGCAGGUUGUCGUGAACUUUGCUCCCAACUAGUUUGCGCUCUUGGGCAUCCAUCAAACAAAAGGAAAAAAAUUGGGUACUUGGCAAAGUACUACAUUUCUUAGGAACAGUGACAAUAAUGAGGGUACAAAGUGAAUAAUGGGAUUUGUGGGGACUUAGAGAAAACCUUAUGAAGGAAAUGAGUCUUAAUGUGCAUCUUAAAAUGACCAGUCCCAGAAUAGUACUCACUGAAUUGUUUGUCCAAUGAACAGCUGAUUCCCUCUACCAGACUACAGCGUGUUGUAUGAUUGUUCCCUUCCCUCCCUAACAGGGAAAGCAGAGCAGGAAAGCUAAUUUAGCUUCAGAUUUCCUGAGUGGAGGAAAAGCACUUGCUGGGAGGGGUCCUAAGAGCCUUAGUCCAGGUGCUUUUCAAGUCUAUCCAUAAAAUGGUUCUUGGAUCCCAAAAUUCUCGUUUUUGAUAAUAUAUUUCCAAUCAUAUUUUAUUCAUUUUGAGUAUUUUGUAAGUAAAGUUUUUUUUUGUUUUACUUAAUAGAGUGUUUUACCCCUGGGAAUCCUGAACCAGGACAUUCAUUUUGUGACUUUAAUGUUACUUGUUUCACUCUUUGAGUAGCACCCUUACUCAUGCCCUAACCCAAAAUUACUUCCUCAUAUAUUCUAAGUGUUUUGGUGUACAUGUGAGCAUAUAGUGGUAAUAUGUGGAAAGCCAUAAAAAAUGCAGAUAUAAGAAAAAUGUACUCUCUAAGAGUUAAGCUCAGAAAAGUAAACCGUAAUCUCCAGAAGACACAAUCUUCUGUCUUUGCAGCACUUCAUAUGAAAACACCUGAUACUUCUAUGGCAGAGUCACAGAUUUACCCCAAAAAACAUUCAGUUGUAUAAAUAAAACGUCCUCUGCCUUUGGGCAGUAGGAGGAAAGCCGUUAAUGUUAGAACAACUUGAUAAACUUAGUCUGUUGCAAUAAUUUAAAUAGCUCCUAUAAGUUUAGGUUAAAACAUUCAAUCUCUUAAUAUUCCAUCUCUCUCAGUCUGCUUCCCUCAAAAUGGCAUUUGGAAGGCUUGAGGGAGCACAAGAGAUAGGUGACUGCUGGACUUUUUGCAGUGAGGUCAACGUUGGCUGCCUUCUGCAAAGUGCUCCUGGGCACUCUGCAACCACUGCCUGCUGGGCAAGGCUACUCCAACUGGUUUCAGCUGUGGCCAGGCCCUGCUGUGCUCUGGUUGAUUUGGCCUCACCAACACUGUGGGACACGCUGAGUGUCUGCCACCAUCAUCCUGGACCCACAACCCGGCAGGCCCCUCAUGAUCUAUGCACAGCUACUGUUUGUGCAUCCCCUAGGGGCCUCCUUGUCACACUGGGAGGAAGACUGUUCCUCCUCUGUGGUUGGCAUUCAUGUCACUAGAUGUGUCCAAAGUGCUGCCCCUAGAUGGUUUUUGCACAGCUCAUCAGGCAACGUGGUGUCAGCUUGCCAAGCCCUCUGUGCCCUUCUCAUUCUAACACACCUUUUCCCUACUCUCUCUUUUCCAACUACAGUUCCUGGGACUGGAAAGAACAGACCUUUCUUCUUGCUAUUUAAUGCUGAUCAGGCCCUCCCCUAUGCAAAACUCUUCAGUCAAGUCUGCAAGGGAGAUAAAUGAAUGUAGAAAAUUAAUUUCUUGACAGAGCCUGGCUUUCUCUUACUGCAGGCCUCAAAAGCCUGUUUUGCUGGUGAAAGGGGCUGCCUUUGAAGAAGUGAACUGGGAAGCUGGAGAAUGGAAUGGGGGGGAGAGUCAUGUUUCACUGUCUACCUUUUGGUGUCUUUUUAAAUUGGACCUAUGUGCAGUGUGGACAUUCGGCUGCUUUGCGCUGGUACAGCCCACUAGCCCUUUCAACCCUGACCAUUCUGACUGUUGGGUCAUCCAGCCUGAAUGGCCAGUGCCCAUUUGGCUCCAGUUGUUAAAUCUGUUCAACGUUAUUUCUGACCAUGUACAUAAAUAACCUAUUCACUGAAGGCAUAUAAUUUAGUUAUUUAAGCCUGUUUUAGAAAUUCUCUUUUGAAAAAAAUGAUCAAUAUUUGUUAGGCUGGAGAAAGGAAAAACAAGGACAUGCAAACAGAACAGAGAGAUGCCAUAGGGGGAGAACGGACCAGACCCCAAAGUCCGUGCCGUAUAUGGAAAGGGGACAGCUCUCCCUGAAUUCCAUCCUGAUGUGCCAACUAAGACCCGGAUGUCAGCCUCCUCCCUCUUGGAAGGAAAAAGUUUCUAGUUGACUAUUAUGUCACCUUUAGCCAAUCAUACCUCUCAACACCCCCUAAAAUAGUCUGCCCUCUCCUCCCACUCCUAAUCCCUUAUAAACGCCCCACCUCCCUAACCAGGCGUGACUUCUCUGGCCUCUGACAAUAAAGCUACAGAACCUCACCCGGGGGGUAUUUAAAUAAAUUACCUGGCCCUUUGUUGCCUCUCUUUGCCUGCUUAUUUCGGCUAGAAUUUACCUUACAAUAUUCUUUAGAUUCCUGUCGAAUUAGUCCUAAUUUCUUCUUUUCCCACCUCCCUCCUUCAGGCAUGCAGGAAGGUGGUGCCUCAGGCUGAGUAGGAGAGAGGUCAGGUGAAUAAAAAUGUACAGGGAAAAGCAGUUAACUGGCACCAUGUUCCUAUCAGUAAAUAUUCAUAAGCCCCCCUACCAUCCCUACUCUUAAGAAACCAGGAUUUUUCUUCCGGUGUUUUCCUUUUCCCCAGCUAUGUCCUUUAGGAGGCAACACUCAUUCCCAGCUCAUGAGGGAAAACAAUGACUGAGACUAGCCAAUCUGGGCGGGCCGUUCCCUCCUGCCCUAGGGCGGCGUAGGCUGGGCAUGUGGUGCAGUUACCUCCAAGGAGGUGUGGGGAAUUCGGAGGGGCCUCAGCACGUGCUUUUCUUUGCUGAUUAAAAAAAAAAACAGACAAAUAAGAAUAAAAAUUAUAGGCUGUGUCUCAAUGUUGUCCCGUCUGUCUGUGCUGCCUGGGAGCUGAGCCUUCACGAGCCAUGGGAAGAACAAGCCAGAGGGAUGGGCCGCUGUGAAGAUGGUGGAGCUCAGAGGGGGAAGGAACACACAUCGUCAGUGUGGUGGAGCCAUCAGCAUCUCUGCCCACUCUCCCAUCUGUUAAGACUUCUAAUCAAGCCACCCAGCUGGGUCUGGUAUUUGUGGCUGCAAGUGUGAGCUAGAUGUUUGACUGUGAGAUCUGUCUCCCUGCUGUCCCCUGUUCAGCCUGUGCUGCUGGAGCUGACCUUUACCAGCCAUUCCCCAUUUUCCCUUGCUCAGUGACUCUGGCUGUAUUCAGCCAAGGGGGGGACCGAGGAGAGACUGGAGGGAGCCCAGGCAUUCCUCCCUCUCCCUCCUGUUCACUGGGCCUCAUUUCUCCGGUGGAUUCAGCUUCUGGGAGACCACUCUUCCCUCCAGGGUCCCCCCUUCCUGCUGGGCAGUCCCUGCCUUUUCUCAGGGGCGUCUGUGUUUGCCUCACUGUCACACGUGGUCUUUCAACAGUCCUGAUGUCUUUGUAGUUAGUUUUCCAUGUUAAACAUCCUCUUUUGAACUAUUUAUUGAGAGACCCUGACCCAUUUUCCUAACUGAAUCAACACCUGAGGAGGACAGGGGAAGGCAAAGGAGAAAGAAACUGCGAAAGUGGUUCCUCUUCCCAGAAGGGAAGGAACUAAGUUCCUGCAGUGCAAGGUUAACUUCUCACAGCUCUCCAAGUUAGCACAAAUGGAAACUCAAAAGGGAGAUUAAGUAUAGAAAAUAAAGGAAUUUACCUUUUUUCAGUCUAUCCCAGUUUAGGACAGUUACAUUUCAACUCCUUCAUAAAUGUCAUUAUCAAUACGUAUUUUCAUGCUAUUGCAUAACACUAUUUCCUAUCAGCAGUAUUUUAUGUACUAUUAAAAGGUAUAAUAUUUGUAAUAAUAUUUAUAUUAUUACUGGAAUUACAGUGGCCCUAUUUAUCCUGUAGAGUCCAGCCCCUGUUACAAUUGAUUAGAACAGAAUUGUGUAUAGUCUCAACUUGAGCCAGUCACACCCUCUCCCCAGAAUGUGGAAUUGAGACCCUGUAUUCUAGUCAGUGUCUAUCAACUGCCUUAACUGGGCAGGUGUGUGAAGGGGAGCUUCGGGACCGCUGCCUGCAGCCUUGCCCAAGCGGAGAAAGACAACAGAGGGCAAACCAAUACAGAAACGCAUUCUGAAUGCCCCUGAGUUGUUCACUGAACAAGCAAGGCCGUCCUAAAAGUUAGAGCCAUAGAUUAGACCAGAAAUGACAAUAGCUUGCAACAAAUUAACUCUUAUUCCAACUCUUCUGUGACGUUUUUAAUCUUUGAGAGAAAGGUGAAUUUGAAGCUAAAAGUUCUCUCUCCUCCUUUUCCCUCCUCCCCCUUUUUUCUUACCUUUACAUCACACGUUUACUGACAUCCUCUGGCGUUAUUCUUCCUGGGUGCAGAGCCACAAGGUGACCACAACGAGUUCCAGUGUCACAGAGAAGGCAAGAACCUGACACCAGUUUUAAAAAGCAAACGAAGCCUACUUUUUGGAGAAACAUAGAAAAACCCUCCAGCAGAAAACAUGCCCUCCUCUCAAUACAUGAAGCUCAGUUAUUCCAGCAUUUCCCCUUGAUACAUACGUAUUUGCUUCUUUCUCAAAAGGAGGCACUCUGAAGUCUGUUCCAAGUCUGACUGCAGAGGCAGUGGCAUGAGAUCACUAUUUUUCUGAUUCUGUAUUUCCAGUGAAUUACCUCUUCCUUUGGAGCAAAUACAGCUGCCAUGGAAAGGUCGUUUAGAACGUGGGGGACGGGGAAGAAAUCACAGGGCCAAAGGAUAUCAUCUGCUGCUGGACAGUUAACAAAGCACAGUGGAGAGCCACUGCGUCUGUGGGCGUCGGUGGUGAGGACACUGCUGUCAACUAACUGGGCUCUCCCAUUUUGCCUGCUGGGCUUGUUCCUAUCUAAGGCACCCCUAAGAGGACCCUAGAGUAGACAGCCCUGUAUGGGCAGAGGGGAGGAGUGUAUUUGCAUUUCACUUUUUGUUAAAGAUAUUGGGACCAGAGUGGCCCGAGGCUCCCUGAGGAAUUAGUGUUCAGCCCAGUUGCAGGAAUAAGCCACAGUCCAGGCCACGGCCCACGUGAUACAUGCUUGGGUUUUGGCUGGUGCUGCAGGUCUAAUAAAGCCUCAGUCACCUAUCAGCUCCAUUUUAGGACAACUUCCUAGAAGUAAAUACCAAGAACUUGGUCGGUCUGAAGAGAUGCAAAGUUGAAGAGCCGAGGCCAGCCUGUCCUUGUAGACUUCCUGGCAGCGGCAGCUGUGGGGACGACACACUGAGAGACCGUCUCAGGGCUGUGAGGACAAGGGGCCGGCCGGAGACCUGGCCCCGUCUGUCUCCCGGGGCACCACCGCCCAGAACCGGAUGGUACAAGAAACUUCCUGCUCUGAUUUCUCCCUGAGAUACAGGCUUCUUGGUCUGAGAGCUUAUCAAUCAAGGCUGCCCGCCCAGCCCCCAAGGUGGGCUGAGGUAUUGUCUGUUUGCUAAAGAGGAAGUUAAGAAUCUUUCCUCUUAACUUCCUGAGUAUUAAAAUGCAAUCUUAUCUUUAAGGUGGAAUCCUUUCUGCCUUUUACUAUGUUGUUUAUGGCAGGGCCUGCUUACCAAUAUUAGUUGCCCAGUUUGCAAAUCACCUCAUCAGGUCUGAAGGAGGAAAGACAGCACAUAGGCCUGGGCCUUUUAGCAAGCUAAAGUGAAUCUUACACAUGAUUACAAAUGAUUAGCAUAAUGAAAACAAGGGCUACUUUCCUUUAUCUAGGGAAUAUUAACUGAUCUCACUGAAGAAUGACUCUAGAGCUUAAUGUUUAACACAGAAUUUUGGUAGGGGGUUUCCUUGCAUGUAGUUACAUUGCUCUGACUCUAAGUAUCCUGCCUUGCUUUUUCCAGAGGCCCUCACCCUACUCUGACUACACCUAUGGUCCCUGUCUUAGCACCACUUCUGGUACUGAUUUCUAUAGCACCUAGGACCCUUAGGUUGUAUAUACAGAACCCAAACUUGAACUGGGUAAGGGGGGAAAUGCAUUUUAAGGAUGCACAAAUAUUGCAUGAAACCCAUAUUAGUCAGGAUUCUUUGCAUUGCAGUUGAUCAAACUCUGAGUUAAAAUGUGUCUUGCCAAUGGGUUAUAGCCCUGGGAAAGUUUACUGUGAAUUCAGUGUGACCAAAGAAAUGACAGUAGAACAUUCUUGGGGUGAAAGGGUUUAUACCCAACUUUAUUUCCAUGGUGGCAGGUCCAUCACUAGAAUCCUGUCUGCUCAGGGCAAGUCUGCAUGCAGCAAGCCGGUCUCUACCUCUGGGCCGGGCCUCUCUGCCUGCACAACCGUCCCAGUCUCUGUCCUUGGCGCUGCCACCACUCCAGCCUCUGCUCUGCUCUCCUGCAGCC